rnacentral:rRNA from 1 species
UACGUAUGGUGCAAGCGUUAUCCGGAUUUACUGGGCGUAAAGGGAGCGCAGGCGGCGCGCCAAGUCUGAUGUGAAGCCUCGGGGCUCAACCCCGGGCAUGCAUUGGAAACUGGCGGGCUGGAGUGCCGGAGAGGUAAGCAGAAUUCCUAGUGUAGCGGUGAAAUGCGUAGAUAUCAGGAGGAACACCAGUGGCGAAGGCGGCUUACUGGACGGCAACUGACGCUGAGGCUCGAAAGCGUGAGGAGCAAACAGG